rnacentral:rRNA from 1 species
GACGAACGCUGGCGGCGUGCUUAACACAUGCAAGUCGAACGGAAAGGCCUCUUUCGGGGGGUACUCGAGUGGCGAACGGGUGAGUAACACGUGAGUAACCUGCCCUUGACUUUGGGAUAACUUCAGGAAACUGGGGCUAAUACCGGAUAGGAGCUCCUGCUGCAUGGUGGGGGUUGGAAAGUUUCGGCGGUUGGGGAUGGACUCGCGGCUUAUCAGCUUGUUGGUGGGGUAGUGGCUUACCAAGGCUUUGACGGGUAGCCGGCCUGAGAGGGUGACCGGCCACAUUGGGACUGAGAUACGGCCCAGACUCCUACGGGAGGCAGCAGUGGGGAAUAUUGCACAAGGGGUGGAAGCCUGAUGCAGCAACGCCGUGGGCGGGAGGACGGCCUUCGGGUUGUAAACCGCUUUCGCUCAUGACGAAGCUUUGUGUGACGGUAGUGGGUAAAGAAGCACCGGCUAACUACGUG